UAGUCAUGUAAACACCGUACUCUGUUUAUCUUAAUCGGCGUCAGGUCAAAAUCAAAGUGAAUAUACGCCUAUUAAAAUAUCUGGUUUUCUGAGCAAUCUUUCGAACACCUUAAUCGGUGUUCCUGCUGUGUAUAUGAUCUGCGCAUGUGCUAGCACCAGCCGAUCGAACCUCCCUCUUUAACAGAUUUUUGUAGUUCGUUCCAGUCAUUGGCAGCAGAGAACUGGAAGGAGAGGCGACCAAAGGAGGAAUUGGCUUUGGGGGUGACCAGAGAGAUAUACCUGCUGGAGCGUGUGCUACAGACAAGAGCCAAGACUGCCUGUGAAUGUACUGUUCGGAUGUGAGAGGAACCUGUCUGACAUCUCCUCAAAGUCCCCAUCACAGUGUGCCUCCUCUGUACAAUCCAGACGACUCCCAGUUACAGCUAGCUCGGACAGAACUGAAGGAGCAAUACGACAUGGGGACAGUUUUCAAACCAUUUGAAGAUGGUGAUCUGGUUUUCAUGAAAGAUAUAUCCAAGCUGCACUGUAAACUAGCCCCACAUUGGAAGGGCCCAUGCAAAAUCCUUCAUUGGUUUGACACAGAUGGACAGCCUGGUGUCACAUAUAGGGUACUGGACUUGAAAUCACCUCAAAUUACCCCAAAAGAUAUCCAUCACAAUAGAUUGAAACAACUCUAUGGUGACAUUGCAGAGCAUCUCACACCUCCCGUAGGCAGCCACAAGAGUCAGCAAGGUUCUGUACCUUCCCAUACCCCCCACUCACUGCCCUCUCAGGAGCAUUACCAUUCCGUUACCCACUAUCUCAUGUACAUCGUUUGAGACAGGCAACCCCACUGUUAGCUACUCAUGUGAGAGUUCAAGCACUCCCCCAGGGUUCCCCCAGGGCACCGGACCUUGCCCCUGUGUCCCCUGAAACUCCUGCCCGUUCCCCUUUGCAUCAGGCUGCAACGCUUGUGGAUAUUGCUCAGGACAGUCUGUGCAGAGCCACUGUUGCUGCACCUUACACGACCCGUAGGGGCCGGAAUAUACCGAAGCCCCGAGGGCUCAUAGACUAUGACUGCUUAAUGACAAAAGGGGGGGAAAUGAAAUAAAAAUAAAACUACCUACGGUAAAAUAUAAAUAUAUCUCCCUGUCUGGUCACAAAAAAAGGGAAAGGGGUGUGAAAAACAUCUCUAUUCUGUUGGUCUGAAUUAUCUGAAAGUGUUCUGUUUUGACAUAUUCUAGUCACAGUCUGGUGACAAUGUGGAUUACUCUCAUGUUUUAUCCUCUAACAACUAACUGUGCUAAGGUAACAUGUUCUUCUCAUGCUUUACGGUCUUUUUACUUCUACAUUUAUAAGUAACUGUAAAACGGGGAUGUUUCUUUUUUGAGCAG
rnacentral:lncRNA from 1 species